GACGAACGCUGGCGGCGUGCCUAAUACAUGCAAGUUGAGCGAUGAAGCUUGGUGCUUGCACCAAUUUGAAGAGCAGCGAACGGGUGAGUAACGCGUGGGGAAUCUGCCUUUGAGCGGGGGACAACAUUUGGAAACGAAUGCUAAUACCGCAUAACAACUUUAAACAUAAGUUUUAAGUUUGAAAGAUGCAAUUGCAUCACUCAAAGAUGAUCCCGCGUUGUAUUAGCUAGUUGGUGAGGUAAAGGCUCACCAAGGCGAUGAUACAUAGCCGACCUGAGAGGGUGAUCGGCCACAUUGGGACUGAGACACGGCCCAAACUCCUACGGGAGGCAGCAGUAGGGAAUCUUCGGCAAUGGACGAAAGUCUGGCCGAGCAACGCCGCGUGAGUGAAGAAGGUUUUCGGAUCGUAAAACUCUGUUAGUAGAGAAGAACGUUGGUGAGAGUGGAAAGCUCAUCAAGUGACGGUAACUACCCAGAAAGGGACGGCUAACUACGUG
rnacentral:rRNA from 1 species